GCCUACGGGGGGCAGCAGUAGGGAAUUUUCGUCAAUGGGCGCAAGCCUGAACGAGCAAUGCCGCGUAAACGAGAAAGGUCUUCGGAUCGUAAAGUUCUGUUGAAGGGGAAAAAGAGCGGAGAGAGGAAAUGGUCUCCGAUUGAUAUUACCCUUCGAGGAAGUCACGGCUAACUACGUGCCAGCAGCCGCGGUAAUACGUAGGUGGCGAGCGUUAUCCGGAAUGAUUGGGCGUAAAGGGUGCGUAGGCGGCCUGCUAAGUCUGGAGUGAAAGGUACCGGCUCAACCGGUACAGGCUCUGGAAACUG
rnacentral:rRNA from 1 species